rnacentral:ribozyme from 14 species
CUCGCAACAGCAUAUAAAGAUAGACACAAGAAAGAAAGAAAGAGACUGCUAAGAUGACCAAAGGCACUAAGCUUGUUUCUUCCUUGCUAAGUAAUGUGCUUUGCUGUGCCUGUCCAGCUCACUAUUUCUUCUCAGAGUUUUUCGUCUUAUCUCUCCUU